rnacentral:rRNA from 1 species
CAGUAGCCACGGUAAUACGGAGGGGGCUAGCGUUGUUCGGAAUUACUGGGCGUAAAGCGCACGUAGGCGGCUUGGUAAGUUAGAGGUGAAAGCCCGGAGCUCAACUCCGGAAUUGCCUUUAAGACUGCCGAGCUAGUAGGUGAGAGAGGUAAGUGGAAUUCCGAGUGUAGAGGUGAAAUUCGUAGAUAUUCGGAAGAACACCAGUGGCGAAGGCGGCUUACUGGCUCAUUCUAGACGCUGAGGUGCGAAAGCGUGGGGAGCAAACAGGAUUAGAUACCCCCGUAGUCCCUGUCUCUUAUAC